rnacentral:rRNA from 1 species
GACGAACGCUGGCGGCGUGCUUAACACAUGCAAGUCGAACGGAAAGGCCCUGCUUUUGUGGGGUGCUCGAGUGGCGAACGGGUGAGUAACACGUGAGUAACCUGCCCUUGACUUUGGGAUAACUUCAGGAAACUGGGGCUAAUACCGGAUAGGAGCUCCUGCUGCAUGGUGGGGGUUGGAAAGUUUCGGCGGGUGGGGAUGGACUCGCGGCUUAUCAGCUUGUUGGUGGGGUAGGGGCUUACCAAGGCUUUGACGGGUAGCCGGCCUGAGAGGGUGACCGGCCACAUUGGGACUGAGAUACGGCCCAGACUCCUACGGGAGGCAGCAGUGGGGAAUAUUGCACAAUGGGCGGAAGCCUGAUGCAGCAACGCCGCGUGCGGGAUGACGGCCUUCGGGUUGUAAACCGCUUUCGCCUGUGACGAAGCGUGAGUGACGGUAAUGGGUAAAGAAGCACCGGCUAACUACGUG